UUUGGGUGGUUCUCCUUUUCCUUAAUGGCCAAAUGUGCAAAGACAUACUGGCCAGGCACAUUUGUUUCUGUUGACAAAACUUAUCUGAAGUGGUGUACGCCAACCAACACAACAAGAUACUCAUCAGAAGAACUCAUGGCUCAUUCUCACAUACUGUUGGUUUGUUCUCAGGCAAUCGGACUUGGUCUGCUUACAUUUUUAUCUGUGGUUCUCUUUGUAUAUGCUAUAAGGAAAUGG